CUCUAUCUCACGCAUAGAUUUCCAGAAUUUACUGAAAUCUCAGUAAUCAAAUCUAAUUAAAUUUACCUAAUCAAAUUUAAUGGAUAUUGAUGUAGGCAAGGCCUACAUGGACACUAAUCAUGUGGACCCGGUUGCCAAGGGGAUUGUUUUCGGUAACGAACUGUUAUGAGAAGAUAACUAGUUGAGUUUUAAGUUGGAUUCUGAUGAGAGAUGUUCAAAUAUGUUUUAUUUUAUUUUCUUCUUGCUUAAUAUGUAAACUUUUAAUAAAUAAAGUGACAAUUUAUCAAAAAACGAAUCGACAAAAAGAAUCCAAUGCAUUUCUUAGUAAAUUUGACUUAGUAAAUAGAGUAUUUCGAAAGAAAUGAAAUCACAAACUGGAUCAAAAUUAAAGAAAGUUUCAGAAAAAUUAUUCAUACCUGAAAAUCGUUUUAAGCAUCUUCUUUGCAAGAAAAAUAAGUUCAUUUGGACUGAAAAAGAUAAUGAUACCUUUCAAGAAAUCAAAGAUAAGUUCAUCGACUGUGUGAUCUUGAAACAUCCUGAUUAUUGACGUGCUACCAAUUUAUCCUAAUAGGUUGGAUAGCAUUUACCUAUCAGCAAAGGUUUCAAAACAGGCUUAUGGCUUUGAACAUUCAACGAAAAAUUCACCACAAAAUGAAAAGAAAAAUUGAAAUCUACAUUUCAUGUAUGUUCAAUAACAUCAAUAAACUUUACAGUAACAUUCAGAUCACAAUAAACACAUCUUAAAUUUCAAUUAUUUAGGAAAAUCCCAACAGAAGCCAACACUCCCAACACAAGCCAGCCAUCAAAAAAUUUGAGAGAGACAAGAACAAGAAGCCUUUCUGGUGAAGCUGAGACAUGUCAUCAUCAAUUGCCAAUUAGCAAAGAACACAAGUCUACAAACUUUAUAUCUAUUGUUUUCAAUAAAACUUUAUUUUUGAAGUUAUUUUAAAUUCAAUUAACCUUCAUAUUGUUUAGAAUUAUCUGUUUUUUCAGAAAUAUAACUUUGUUACAGUGAUCCAGUGGAAUGUUCAACACUAGUAUAUAUGAUAAAUUCCCUAUGAAAAGUUUAGUCCAUAUAUCGAUUACACCGAUAUUUGCUA